rnacentral:rRNA from 1 species
GACGAACGCUGGCGGCGUGCUUAACACAUGCAAGUCGAACGGAAAGGCCCUGCUUUUGUGGGGUGCUCGAGUGGCGAACGGGUGAGUAACACGUGAGUAACCUGCCCUUGAAUUUGGGAUAACUUCAGGAAACUGGGGCUCAUACCGGAUAGGAGCUCCUGCUGCAUGGUGGGGGUUGGAAAGUUUCGGCGGUUGGGGAUGGACUCGCGGCUUAUCAGCUUGUUGGUGGGGUAGUGGCUUACCAAGGCUUUGACGGGUAGCCGGCCUGAGAGGGUGACCGGCGACCUGGGGACUGAGGUACGGCCCAGAAUCCUACGGGCGGCAGUAGUGGGGAAUAUUGCACAAUGGGCGGAAGCCUGAUGCAGCAACGCCGCGUGCGGGAUGACGUCCUUCGGGUUGUAAACCGCUUUCGCCUGUGACGAAGCGUGCGUGACGGUAAUUGGUAAAGAAGCACCGGCUAACUACGUG